rnacentral:rRNA from 1 species
AUGGCUGGAAGGCACACCAUUGUUCUCGUGCAACCAUCUCCAAACAAAGCGUCCAGAACUUUUAUGGACUUCAGUUCACUCAACCAAGCCCUGGAUGGUAUCUGUGCCCGUUAUGAAAAGAAAAUCAUGGAUAUCAACCCGAUGGCCAGGAACUUCACUUAUGACAUCACAGACCUGUACAAUUUCAUCGAUGGCCUAGCGGACAUCAGUGCCCUAGUGUAUGAUCAUCAACUUCAAGCUUUUCUGCCGUACGACAGGCAGUGGAUAAAACAGAAGAUGUUCCAGCACCUCAAGAACCAGGCACGGCAGUAG